rnacentral:lncRNA from 1 species
CAUAUAUACACACAAACACACCCAACAACACACACAAAAAAAGAGACAACACAGACACACACGCUACACACACAUACAAUCAACAAUACCACACAACCCAUAAGUCCACUCCCAUUAUCCCACUAAGACCUACACUUCCCACAGAUACACACACGGACGAAAAAGAAAAAAAGAUCAUCAGCAACCAAAAAAAAGAAAAAACACACACAAACGUAUAGCAAAAGAAAAAAGGAGAACUGCCUCCCCC